AUACGUAUGUCCCAAGCGUUGCGCGAUCUCACUGGGCGUAAAGCGUCCCCAGCCGGUCCGGUAAGCGGAUUGUCAAAACCCGCGGCUCAACCGCGGUAGGGCAACCCGAACUGCCGGACUUGAGGCAAGCCCAGGCAGGCGGAAUUCCCGGUGUGGCGGUGAAAUGCGUAGAUAUCGGGAGGAACACCAAAGGGGAAGCCAGCCUGCUGGGGCCGCCCUGACGGUCACGGACGAAAGCUGGGGGAGCAAACCGGAUUAGAUACCCUAGUAGUCC
rnacentral:rRNA from 1 species